UACGUAGGGUGCGAGCGUUAAUCGGAAUUACUGGGCGUAAAGUGUGCGCAGGCGGCCGAGCAAGUCGAGUGUGAAAGCCUCGAGCUUAACUUGGGAACUGCGCUCGAAACUACUUGGCUAGAGUGUGGCAGAGGGAGGUGGAAUUCCACGUGUAGCGGUGAAAUGCGUAGAGAUGUGGAGGAACACCGAUGGCGAAGGCAGCCUCCUGGGCCAACACUGACGCUCAUGCACGAAAGCGUGGGGAGCAAACAGG
rnacentral:rRNA from 1 species